UCCAGUUCUCAGGGCGGGGCGAAACUCCCCACCGGCGGUAACGGACCAAGUGUCCGAAGCCCGCGAGCGCCUGACACGGCAGACGUGUCAGGGUCAGCAGAUUCGGUGCAAUUCCGAAGCCGACGGUCAUAGUCCGGAUGAGAGAGAACGAGG
rnacentral:ncRNA from 2 species